rnacentral:lncRNA from 13 species
AACUUAAAAAGAACGGACAAAUCUGUACAUAUAUUAACAUGAAUAUUACAACUAAUUAACUAAUUUAAUUAAGCAAUCAAAAAAUUGGUCAUUUUUUGCAUGAAACUUAUAGGUGAUGGUUUCUAUUUGAUAUUUUAAUUUUAAUAUGUAAAAAUUAUUGAAUACAAGUUUGUGUAAACUGUGUAUGAUUCCAUUUUAGAUUUCAUCUUUUACGUCAAAUAUUUAAAAAUAUUUAAAUUACAUACAAUAUUAUUUAUAUUAUAUUGUAACACUCUAAUGUAGCUCAUUUUCUCAUACUCCGGGUUAAAUAUACAAGAGCAACGCACAAAACUUUUAAUUUAGAUUCAUUUUUUUUAGUGUAAAAAAUAGAUGAUUAUGGAUAGAAAUCAAUUAUUUUAGAGAUUAUAGUAUUAUAGCUCAAAAUUUGUAAACUUUGUUGCCUUAGAAGUUGUGAGUAAUAAUUAAGUAUUACAACAUUAACGAGAUAAUUGGAAAUCAUUAGAUUAGAUACAGAUAUGCGUUUUCAUGUUCUACGUUAUAAUUUUUAUAUAAAUGAAGAUUAGAUAAAAUGAAAAAAUAAAUUCAAAAUGAAAAAAUCGAGUAUAUUAGCACGUAUCAACUACAUCGCAUCUCUGGAUAUUUCUAUCCGUUUUUCUUAAGGUUUAAGGUGUGAGUUGAAAAUCAAACGACAAUAGAACCCGAGUUAUUUACCACUCGAAAUGCACGCAUCACGCAUUGCACAAAUUGCACAGAAAAUACGAUCUAAUUUGUAUCUAUAUUUUUUCGCUGUAUCUCGCAAGAUACUACUCGAGUUGCGUUAACACAACGAAAUCAAUUCCGCAAUUACGACCUGUGACAGAGAAUAUUUUAAUCGAACAUUGUCACUGCGUCACAGACAAUAAUAUUAAUCGUAUGACAGUUAAGAGCAAAAAAAAAAGGAGGCAAA